rfam:Pseudomonas sp. FeS53a scaffold31.1, whole genome shotgun sequence.
GGUCACACCUCUUUUUAAAACACGGGAUUCGUUCCCGGCCUAUUACUCUCAGAGGAAGCCCAUCAUGGCACUGAGCGUUGCUGAAAAAGCCCAGAUCGUUAACGAGUACAAGCAAGCUGAA